CGUCACCCGUUUAUCCCCGUAUAUCUCCACUACCAGGACAAGUACUUUAGCCGACGAAAAAUUUUCGUCGGCCUGUUAUCCUAAUUCGUCGGCUAAGCCCUUAGCCGACGAAGGCUCGUCGGGUAUAGUGUCGUCGGGAAAAGGUCGUCGGUGAUAGCUUUAGCCGACGAACCUAAAGACCGUCGUCGGCUAUUGUCCAGAUUUUAGCUGACGAACUAUUUUUUGUCGGCUAUUGUUCUAGACUUUAGCCGACGACGUCCUGUGUCGUCGGCUAUACUUUCAGACUUUAGCCGACGACUUCCUGUGUCGUCGAUUAUACUCUCAGACUUUAGCCGACGACGUCCAGUGUCGUCGGCUUUACUCACAGACUUUAGCCGACGGAACAGAGAUAUUCGUCGGCUAAAGUAUAUAAUUAAAAUAUUUAAAAAUAACUAUAGCCAACGACAUAGAGUCUGUUUCGUCGGCUUUAGUGGUGUUUAGCCGACGAAACAUGCCAUAAUUCGUCGGCUAAACCCUUUGGAAAAAAAAUAUAAAAUAACUAUAGCCGACGAAUUGUGGCAUGUUUCGUCGGCUAUAACGCCAUUCCAGUAAAAAAAAAUAUACAAAAUUCUUAAAUUACCAUUCCAAGCAAGCUGCAAAAUACACCAAAACAAUUCCAUAUAUAUAACCAACAAGAAGCACAUAAAACUAUAUAAGGUAUCAACUACACAAAAUCUAGGUGGUCUAAAUCAAUAUCCGAAUUUGGGGCCUGCUGGUGAGGAGAUUGCGGCGGCAGAGGUAACUCUAUAGGCGCAGGCAUGGGCGGAGGUGGGAGUCCCUGAAGCUGGGCAGCUGUAAAAUCCUGGAAGUACUGGAACAUCUGCUGCUGCUGGGCCUGCUGGGCGGCAUGUAGGGCUCUAGUAUAGGCUCUAUAUUCGGCGAUCUGGGCGGCAUGAGCGGCAGCCUGAGCAGCCUGAGCGGCUUGCUGUUCCCGUAGUCUCUCAACUUCCGACUCUAGCUGAGUCGUCCUGCUGUUGGUCGAGGCUGCCUUU
rnacentral:lncRNA from 1 species